rnacentral:rRNA from 1 species
GAUGAACGCUGGCAGCGUGCCUAAUACAUGCAAGUCGAGCGGACGGAGGAGAAUUUUGCUUGUCUGGUGUUACCGACGGACGAGUAAGUAACACAUAACUAACCUAACUAUUAGACAGAACUAACGUCAACGAAUGGUAACACCUACCAGUAUAAUAUUUGAACAUCCUAUUUCUAUGAAAGAUGUCAGCCUUGCGAUAACUCUUUGCUGUGCACUCGCUGGUUGGUGAGGUAACGGCUGACGAAGGCGACGAUGGGUAGCCUGCCUGAGAGGGUGAACGGCCACACUGGAACUGAGACACGGUCCAGACUCCUACGGGAGGCAGCAGUAGGGAAUCGUGCGCAAUGGGCGAAAGACUGACGGAGCAACGCCGCGUGAGUGAUGAAGGUCUUCGGAUCGUAAAAUGAUGUUAUUAGGGAAGAACAGAUGUGUAAGUAGCUGUGAACAACUUGACGGUACCUAAAGAGAAAGCGACGGCUAACUACGUG